AAGGCUGAGCAUAGUGGGGUAUCUAAUUUCCCAAACUGGGAUUAGAUACCCCACUAUGCUCAGCCUUAAACAUAGAUAACUCACAGAACAAAACUAUCUGCCAGAGAACUACUAGCAACAGCUUAAAACUCAAAGGACUUGGCGGUGCUUUACAUCCCUCUAGAGGAGCCUGUUCUAUAAUCGAUAAAC
rnacentral:rRNA from 1 species